rnacentral:misc_RNA from 1 species
GAACAGUAGGACUGGAAGCUUCUGAUGAACUAUCUGACUCUGCUUCUGAAUUUGUUAUCAAAACUGAUCCAUUCGAAGGUUUCUCACUUGUCGGUAGGCUGGAAUAGACAACACCACUCGCCCCCACGAUCACUGAUGGUUCCUUGGCCAUCUUCUCCUUCUCCAGCGCUUCCUUGGCCAAGGGAGAGAAUUGGGAGUCUAGAGACCUUGCUGCACCUAACCAUGCAAGGACGAUCACCAGCAGUAUUCCUCCAAGAUAGGGGGUCGAACUCGCCAGGGAUCCAAAAGUCAAGAUCAUGAACUGCUGGAUCAAGGCACCGCCAGAUUUCCCCAGCGGGUUGCAGACUACAUCAAUGGCCGCCUUCCCUUU